ensembl:misc_RNA 7SK 7SK RNA
GGAUGUGAGGGCGAUCUGGCUGCGACAUCUGUCACCCCAUUGAUCACCAGGGUUGAUUCGGCUGAUCUGGCUGGCUAGGUGGGUGUCCCCCUCCUCCCUCACCGAUCCAUGUGUGUCCCUCCCGAAGCUGCGCGCUCGGUUGAAGAGGACGACCUUCCCCCCCGAGGAGAGGACCGGUCUUCACUCAAGGGUAUACGAGUAGCUGCGCUCCCCUGCUAGAACCUCCAAACAAGCUCUCAAAGAUAGAAAGAGACAAAGAUGGACACUUUAUGAUGAUAAAGGGAACAGUCUUUCAAGAAGACAUAUCAUUUCUCAAUAUAUAUGCCCCCAAACAUGGAGCACCAAUAUAUAUAA